CCUACGGGAGGCUGCAGUGGGGAAUAUUGGGCAAUGGGCGAGAGUCUGAACCAGCCAAGUAGCGUGAAGGAUGACUGCCCUAUGGGUUGUAAACUUCUUUUAUAUGGGAAUAAAAUGUUCCACGUGUGGGAUUUUGUAUGUACCAUAUGAAUAAGGAUCGGCUAACUCCGUGCCAGCAGCCGCGGUAAUACGGAGGAUCCGAGCGUUAUCCGGAUUUAUUGGGUUUAAAGGGAGCGUAGGUGGAUUGUUAAGUCAGUUGUGAAAGUUUGCGGCUCAACCGUAAAAUUGCAGUUGAAACUGGCAGUCUUGAGUACAGUAGAGGUGGGCGGAAUUCGUGGGGUAGCGGUGAAAUGCUUAGAUAUCACGAAGAACUCCGAUUGCGAAGGCAGUUCACUGGACUGCAACUGACACUGAGGCUCGAAAGUGUGGGUAUCAAACAGGAUUAGAUACCCCAGUAGUC
rnacentral:rRNA from 1 species